UUGAAAAUGCGUUUCAGGAAAAAAAAGUCUUUCCGAUUGUGCUCAUUUUCAUUAUGGUUGGACAGAUUAUUAUGGUACUUGCUGAAGGGUGACUAAAUGAGUAUUUCAUUUCUUUUUUUUUUGCUCUUUGGAAGGGUAGUUAGAUGCACUCUUGUCUGCGACCACACAAGAUUCACUAAGUUUUUCUUCUGUAUCAGUGCAAAUAAAUACCUUCAAUUAUCCAUUCUCUUAAUGAAUGACUUCUCAAGCUUUAGCUGCCUGCAUUGUCAGAAAAAGUUCUGGUUCUUGCUGCUUUGUCGUUUUCUUUUGCUAUUCCAUCAGAACUAGUAGGGACCAAUGUAUUUCUUGUUUCUUGCACUGUUUAAAAGAGAAUGUAUCAAAACUAGGGCAGCUAUCAAAUAAAUGCUCUGUUACUGCAUAUGGCUGCUGGUUUAUAUAAAGCCAGCUCAGUAUUAGCAAAAAAAAAAAAAAAAUCAAACUAGCAAAUCUUAUUCAUGGUCUUAAAGGCAGUGGCCCCUGGUAAAUUUUAGCUAGGGGAACCAGGAAAGAGAAGAAACUCAGGAUCGUGGCUUGAAACCUGUAGAUGGAGGGCACAAUGAUCAUCAUGCAGCUGUAUAGAACUGAUGGUUAAUAACUCAGAUUUUACCAAUUGCUAUGAAAAAAACACAAACAAAAUGAAAACCACCACCAACAAAAAACUUUCAAGGGAAAUUACUGUCAAGACAGCAUUUUAUAGAGGAAGCAGCAAAAGCAUAGAGUUUAAAUGACUUGCAAGCAGCAACAUGGUAAACAUUGGUCCCCUGAGUCCUAUCAAUUGUCUGUUUGUUAUAUUAUUGACACUGCUGUGUCUUGUCUGGAGCUCUCCAAAGGCUUACCCCAGUGCAGGAAGCCAUGACAGUUAUUAGACUUAGGCCUGGUAAUGAAAAGCCCUUUUCAGAAGUGCAUCUCACACAGCUCUUUCCAUAACCACUUCCAACAAUGGUAAAGAGCCCUGGGGCUUUCUGCAUGCUCUGCAUGCAAUGCAGGCACUCCUUCAGCCUGUAAAUUACAAAAACUUGACAAGGUCUCCAGGAAAUGGGGUGGUGCAAAAGACCCUCCAUGUUGUGCUUUUUUGUUUCUAAGGCUAUGGUGCCUCUGCUCUCCUUUUGUCUACAUAGACAGAUGAGCUGUUCCAGAUCUACAUAAAAUGGGAGGUGACGUUAUGUGACACGUAUGUCAUUAUCUCAAUUGUUCUUUCUGUUCACUUAUGUUAGCUGUUUUUGCUGGAUCAGUGUGUGGAUGCUGUGGAACAAAGGCCUUUCUCUCCUGCCUCUAAAUGCAUAAAUAUGCAAACCCUUGUUAUUGAUCUGAAAGGAUGUGGUGAAAUUUGCACACUAGAUCUUACAUCCGACUUGAGUAAUAUCCAAAGCUUCCAUUUGUCCUUCAUAACAUUGUUUAUUCAGAUGCACAAUACCUGCCUUCGCUGUGCAAAGGAGAAAGAGGUCUGCUGAGAGCUCCAGUUCAACAGACAACCUCAAUAGUCACCUCUCUAUUUAGAAGUCCUGAAGUUGAACUGGCUUAAGUGCAACUACAUAUGGGCUAUACAGGUUUAAAAAAUAAUACUAAAAAAAGGUUGAGGUGUCUGAAUCAGAUGUCUGAAUCUAGGCAGAUGAGAUAAUUAAUUCCAAACCUGCAGUCUUAACUUCUUCCACUUCAAAGCUGGGGAAACACUGGAAGUGUUGUGAAGUAAACCAAUGCAUCUCCAGCACUGUGUCUCAAAAGCAUGAGUGUGAUUUCUGUGGGCAAGGGAGUAGGUGGGGAAUGGCUUUGUCCCUCCUGCCUGUAUUGGCUUUUAUACAAAGAUCACAUUUGUUGUCCAAUCCUUGGACAGCAAAACAGGGUUCUUUUUUCUCCUGUCCUGACUCCCCCCUGCAAUGCACACGUCAGCAUUAGCAACCAGGGUGCUCUCGUAGGAGAGAGGGGGUGUGGGCUGGAGCUGCUUCAGAGUGCCAAGGGACUGAUUUAGUUAAUUUUGAUUUACAGAAAAUCAGGCUUCUUUAAUUGAAAGUAUUCAAUUUCCUUUGUCCUAAUGUCUUUCCUUUCUUCAGACAACCACCAAAACAAAAUAGGUUCCAACAGAAAGCCAAAAGGAAAUAAUGAGUAGCAAAGUAUGCCUGAAUUCCCUUUCCCUCCCUGUUCCUGAAAUUUAGACACCCAGGUCAAGGUUGUAGGCUGAUGCUGACAUUGUUUUUUGACCCUCAAAUCCUGUCUUCAAAAUCAACAUGUGCAGAAGUUAUUUCAAGUAACUGAACAGGUUACCUUUGAGAAGGGUGUAGCUCUCCUGUAUAUAUGGUGUCAUCAGUGACCAUACUGGGCAAUGUGACAGCACAGUUUAUGGACCUUCAGGGUUUUCUUUGAUUGAUCUCUUCAGCUGAGAUGCAGAGAUUCCACUUAAAUAUUUAUUUGGAUACAUAUGUAAAUGCUUUCUUAGACAUAAUCGUUCCUGUUUGAUUUCAGCUAAGGAGAAGUGCCUGAUUUGUUUUAGUUUGUGAUGGUUGUAAAUUGGGAAAAAAUCAUGAUGCCCAGUGAAGCUAUAUUCAUAUAACACUACAGUAUUUCAUAUUUUACUUUACCCUAGUGUAAAUGUGGUUCUAAUGCUUAUUUCCUAACUCAUAGGGCUACUGAGAAAAUAAAUUCAUUAUUGUUUAUAGGUUGGUUAUGGUCCUCAAAUGGGAGGCAUUCAGAAUGGAAUGUUACUAUUUAAGAUAACCUUGACAUUUAAAAUUCAGCUGACAAUAUUUUGGCGUGUCAAAUAGGCAGUUAAUUUUGAAUAUAUGGAAAGUGUUCAGAGGCAUAUUCAAGUUUUUGCUUGAAUAACUUCUCUGACAUCUUUUCUCUGCACUGCAAUGGUGACCAUUUUCGAUACAUCAAAAAACUAAACAGUUUAGAGAAAUAAUCUAAAGAAUAACGUAUACACUAGUUCAAUGAAAAUGUGUUGGUCUUUAGACCCUCAGAGGACAAGAAAAUAAUGCCAAAACUGAACUCUUUCAGAAGACAAGAGCCAAAAUGUACCUGGAAGGAAAAAAAAAAUAAGAUUAAGAGACAAGUUCUGUAUAACUGAAGGGGUGAAAUUUGAUCAUGAACAGUUCUGUCAUAUUGAGCUUUCUGUUUGUAGCUUCAGAUGUGUAAGGAUUAUGGGAAGUGGAACUGACAUCUCUUUGCUUUAAUGGUAAGUGUGUGACAGAGAACGAAAUUUCAUGUUUGUAUAGCUUGUUAGAUUGAAGUUAUACUGGAGUCUGUUUUUUAUUCUUCCUUUGUUGCAUGACACUAGCUAAUCCUUAUGAUACAGAAGUACCCUGAAAGAAACCAUAAUCUGAUGGCCGAUAUCUGUGAAGACAUGUAACAGUGGAGUAAUUUUUCUGUUGGCUGAGAUGAAAACAAGGUAUUGUGACAUAAAUCAGAGGUGAUCGAUCCUUACCCUAUCAAACCCUUGGUCUGACAACUGGAAAUAAAUCUGUUGGUUGACACUGAGACUAUCCAGAGAGCUUACUUAAGUUGAUUAUCUGAUGUCCUUCUUCAUUGCCUUUUGCCUUGUGUUUCUCCUUAAAGUGUGGAAACUGCUGUGAAAUUUCAUCCAUUUUCUGCCAGUCUGAGCUGCUCAAGAGUGGGAUCAUUCAAGACAUCCGCAGAAUUGUUUGUCAUACAGCUACAGGUGAACUCGCAUUCUUAAAAAUAUAGCACACAUUAAUAAAUGACAGUUGUAAUGAAGUACAUUAUUGACUUUGCACUUAGUCAACUUAGGUGAUCGCUUCUGUUUUGCUUGCAAGAUAAUUCUGCAGUUGAACUUAAACAGCACAUUGUCAUAAUGUUUGAACAUUAGCUUUCCUUGCCAUGUAGUGAAUAUAGUUAUGUAGUGGAAUAAGGAUCAUGAAAUACGUCACAACUGUUAAGAAUGGGAUUGCAAGAAUGAAACUUUGGAAGAUAACUAGAAAUGGAACAGACUUAAGCAAAUGUCAGUUAUAUAAAAAUAGGCCUUUUGGUAUACAUUAAGAUGCUGAGCCAUAAUUUGCCAUGGAUCAGGUAGGUAUGCAAGUUUGCUACUCUUGCAAUACGACUGAUAAUUUCUUGUAGAGGGAUGUGACAGGAGCCUAGAUAAAUACAAAGGCUGUGCCAGCUCCUUGCUCCUAUGUCUGCUUCACAGGAGUCCUUAGCCCAGCCAAUACCAAUAGCACAGCUCUGCAUUCCUCAUGUGCUCAGAGCUCUUGGGAGAAACAGCACAGCGAGUGCUCAAGCAGUUCAGGAUGAGGUAUUGUUUUCAAAAUAUCAAGCAUAUGUCUUUUUUUUUUUUUCCUUUUUUUUUUCCUUUUUCUUCCCAUCUUUAGCUACAUAAAACUCAUUCCCACCUCUGCCCCCAAAAACCCGUCAAGAGAGGAUACAGAAUCCCUGUACCUUAGGCCCAGAUAAAUCUGGAUAUUCUGGGAAAAAAAAAAAAAUAAGUAUAGUGUUUCUCCAGUUGCAGCUAACUGCCAUAUGCUUCCUGAUCUGUAUUCUCAGUUUGAGAAAGUAUAAUGAAUGUGCUGAUAACAGAGAUCAAUAUUAUAGAUUAUUUAAAAAUGACUUUAUUUGCAUGCCAAUAGUGAUAUUAACACUUAGAUUGAGUGCUAGUGUACCCUUUCUUAGUUCUGUGAAAAUGAAAAUAUUUUGAGUAAAAAUAUGGUUGCAAAAUCCAUGGUUAUUUCUGUUACCAAGUUCAAAAGUAACAUAUACAAGGAUGCCAGUCCUUAUGUCCUCUUCAAAGACCAUAUAUACUGAAUGCUGACCAUUUUUUAACAAUAGUGCUUGUCUUGUGGUUGUUCUGAUGCAGUGAUCUGGAAAACAGUGGUAGAGGCAUAUAAAAGAAACAGGAAUAGGUUUGGAAAAAACAGCAAAUUUUACUCAUGUAGAGAUGAUCAAUAACCUGCUAUUUCAGGAGUCUGGGGAGCUCGGGGACAUGGAUUACAUCAAAAUCAAAGUUCAAUGCCAAUCUUUAUAAAAUUACAUCAUCUACUUUGUAAGUUAAAUCCACAACAGCAGAAACUCAAAGCAGUAGCUAA